CUUCUAUUUCCGUUUGUUUGUUUUUAAUUCCUUUUUAUAUAUUUCUUCUUCUGCUCAGACACACCUUUCUAUUUUAUACGUGUCUUUUGCCCUGUGGUUUACUUUCCACGUGCUACUCUCUUCUUUCUCCCUCUUUCUUCUUUGUCCACCGCUGUUCAAUUUCGUUCUUGCUUCUUUUUUUGCCCAGUUAAUUUGAUGGUUUUUUUUUGCAAAAAUCGUCCUUGGUUUAUAGAGCACCGUUCAACCGACUCCCAUUCUAUUAUCCACCGAUCCAUCGCCUCCAUCAUCAGCUUCUAAACCUCACACUAACAAUUCUCGAUGUCUACUCCACCUUCUCCACCGCUCGCCUUCUCUUCUGGGUUUCCCUUAACCCUACACACUUCCGGGUCUACACGCCAUAUCUAGGGCUUUAUCCUCUCUCAGACUCUCACCCGAUCAUGAAGCCUCCGAUAGUACUUUAGGCGGUCCAACGUAAGAAGACCUCGAAAGCUUCAACUUUUUUGCACCACAGUCACCAGUUAGCUUGCUGAUUGUCGAUUGUCGCCGCUGAGAUGGCAGAUAAAGAGGAAGGACGUGCAGCUGCUCCUAAAGGAGCCUACUGGGAAGUAAUAUCACUCACUGAAUCAGCAUACGCUGCUGCCCUGGUGGGAAUACCCCAGAGCUUAAACAUGAGGAAAAGGGUGAAGUAGUCGACAAAAGAGUAUCAUUUUUCAACGCAUUGUUCAUGUCUACUCAUUUUGUUUUCCCACCUAAAGAAGACACAAAGGUCCUUGAUCAGCAUGAUGAUUUUGAAUCCAUUAAAGAAAAAGAAAUUUAUGAUCCCAAGAAGUUAACCGAGUUACAUGAUUAUUACAAAAUCCCCUUUUCUAAUGAGAGAAUUAGAUGAGUGGAUACACUCUUCUGAUGGAUCUGGAUGUGGUGUGUCUUAUGGAGAUUUGUAUGCACAUACAAAAGAGAAGAAUACAUUUUGGUCUAUAUUUGUUGUGGCUGCACUGAUGGGUAUUGUGACUAUUGGCCAACAAUGGUAGCAUGAAAGAUGGGAAUUUUUGUGCCAUGAAUUGAAAUUUUGGAUCCAUGAUAUUGAUGAGGUACUCCUGCUUACAUUACAUUUAUGUCUUUAUUGCAUAAAUCUUAAAGUGAUUAUUUCAUGUAAAUUAAUCAGAGUUAGAUAAUCAGUGGUAAGAAAACGUAAAUGUAUGUGACAUUGGACUUCAACAUUAUGGAUUUAAUUUAAGAUAUGAUGAUUAUCAUUAAAAAAAGGUGGAUCGUAAUUUUUUUUAAAUGGUGGGUUCUAUUGGGACAUGAAAAUCUUUUGAACAUUUAUCACAAAUAAUCAUCAAUUCCACAAAAUGGUUUUAAUGGAAUUUUUUUCUUUUGCAAAUUGACAUUUUUACCACAAAUGACAUCAGUAUUUUGCAAAAUCAGUGGUGAUUAUGUGAUAAAUGUUCAAAAAUAACCAUUUUAUUAUAAGACCCAAACUUUUUGGUCAUUUUAGUGAUUAACCAAAAACAUAUAUUCACAAAAUGACAUAAAUCAGAGGGUGUUAUUAAGAAAAAGGACCAUAUUUUCAAUAUUUAUUGGAAGGUAUUGACAAAGACUAUCUGCAUCAUCUGGUCAACUUAGCACGAUGACAACUCGGGGAUGACCUAAUAUUGUAAGUUUGACGUAAUAUGGUAACAAAUGAUCUUUUAUUUCUUUGCAUCAAACUUUAUUCAUCACUUAACAUUUAUAAACUUUGAGGGGUAGGAAGAUAUUUUGAUUUUUUAGUUUAAUAAGCAAUACCACCAUUUUUCUUGAUUUUUACAGAUAUACUACAAAUGGAGGUGUACUAGAGAUACCCUCACUAAAGGAACAAUAAAUGGAGAUGCUGUGAGAGGAUCCUUGCCCUAUAUUUAAUUUGCAAAAGGAGUUUAAUACACCUGGAAAAUCAUCACCUAAGUAUCUCAUUCCAUUCUGAAACUUGGCAUUGGAAUGCAUAGUUGAAAAGCUUAAUUUGAUGGACUGCGUAAAAUGCCUUGUGUUUGUAGUUUUUCAAGGAGUAUGACUUUCACUAAUCACCUUUGGGAAGAUCAUAUGAACAAAAGAUCGGAUGUACAUUGUUAUUAUGGAUAAAAACUGAAACAUAUUGCCAUAUAUGAUUACUAUACUAAAAUACAAAUGUUUUACCCUUGCUUAUGCUUCUAUAGUUGUGCUUUCUUACUGAUUCAUCAUUUGGUUCUCUUGAAGAAGGAAAGCGGCCAGAUAUCAAUGGUGACUCUUUUCCAAACACAAGAAAUACUUACUAGCAGCACCUUAUCAUUUUGUUAUUAUUCAGAUUUAAACAUGGAGCAAAAAAAUUAUGAAGAUGAAGGACUUCCACCUGGAUGGGAUAACACAUAUCCACUUAAAGAACAAGUGGAGCAUAUGCUUACACCACAAUAGGGCAAUGUACUUUCAUUUUAAUGUUUGUAUUUCUGUAACUUGGAUCAUCAAAAUACCAAUGUACAUUCAUUUUUUACAGUGUUUGCAAAUGGGCAAGUUGCAGAGAAUAGCAACAUAAUUUAUUGUGGC